CGCUGGCGGCGUGCCUAACACAUGCAAGUCGAACGGAACGAAAAGAGCUUGCUCUUGGCGUUUAGUGGCGGACGGGUGAGUAACACGUGAGUAACCUACCUUUCAGAGGGGAAUAAUGUCUGGAAACGGACACUAAUACCGCAUAAAAUAUUUUAACCGCAUGAUUGAAAUAUCAAAGGAGCAAUCCGCUGAAAGAUGGACUCGCGUCUGAUUAGCCAGUUGGCGGGUAACGGCCCACCAAAGCGACGAUCAGUAGCCGGACUGAGAGGUUGAACGGCCACAUUGGGACUGAGACACGGCCCAGACUCCUACGGGAGGCAGCAGUGGGGGAUAUUGCACAAUGGGCGCAAGCCUGAUGCAGCAAACCGCCGCGUGCAGGAAGACGGUCUUCGGAUUGUAAACUGUUGUCCUCUGUGACGAUAAUGACGGUAGCAGAGGAGGAAGCCACGGCUAACUACGUGCCAGCCGCUGC
rnacentral:rRNA from 1 species